CUAUCUAUCUAUCUAUCUAUCUAUCUAUCUAUCUAUCUAUCUAUCUAUCUAUCUAUCUGUGUACAUAGAUACAAAGAAAAACAAAUCAUUUCAAUUCACUAUAAUUAUCUGCCAAAUUUAGGUAACUAGAUAGAUUGACAGAUAGAAAAGUCAGAUUAAUUGAAUACCAUUUAAUAAAUCAAUAGCAAUCACUACAAAUAAGGUAGUCCCUGAAAAAUGCAUCAUAUAUAUCUUUAUUUCUUCAUUUGUUCUGAUCAAAAUGUAUUUGCCCAUAGGCAUCUGUCCAUUUGGCUAUUCGUUCAGUUUUGAAACUUAAGUAUGCACACUAUGCAUAAAUGAGCCAAAAUAGUGUCAUUUCACAGCAAAAGAAAAAUGUCUUAAUUGCUUCUUUUUUCACAAAGACAUUAAUUACUGACAGAAAUAAACAUACACACACAUGCAUACAGUGAAUAACAGGGAGAAGUUGAGAUUAAUUUGUCUCCUGUUCUCACAAAAAUUUAAACAAUUAGAAUAAUUUUUUUCCAUUUUGUGCUAUCCUAAUUUUUCAUGGGUACAUGCAGAAAGUAGGCUUAAAACCCACAAUGUAUUCCCAAUUUCUAACAAAAAUGUUAAUCAAAAAAUAAUGUAAUUAAUUACAAAUUACAACUAAACAACUUUUUGAAAAACUGCAUGAAGAAAUCCAGUGAGACUCCAGGGUCCAUGUGUACAAAAAGAUGUGACCUCUCUAAAUUCCGACUGUGCCAGAAUGAGAAACAGAAAUGGAGCAAAGAAAGAUAGCUUCCUGGUUAAACGGAUCAGUUGUGUUGAACUGAACUGAACUACAUUUGGCAGAAGGGAAUAAAAAGUUUCAAAUCCUGUAAGACCAAAACACCAUGCUGGAUCUGCUAUUAAUCUGUGAAAGAAAAAAAUGCAAAUAUUUCCACUUAAUUCAAUGAUGCCUGUCUUUGUCUAAAGAACAUGUGAAGACCGAAAUUGAAGCUGCCAGUUGGUCAUGAACCAAAGAGAUUAUGAACACGAUGAUGAAGUUUCAAAUCCAUUUACCUGAAAAACACUGCCCUACUUUCAUCAACGAAAAAAUAAAUUGCAAAAAUCUUGAACUGUCGGGAGCACACAGCACGAUCAGUUCACAAUAUGGAGAUAAUAUGAACAAAAAGACAAAAACAAAAGAACUUUACUUUUAAAGGCUCAAGGCAAGUAACCAGCUUCUUCAGUACUCUGUAACCAAAAGACCGUUAUAUUGUCUGCUUUUGUUCCACUAAGUACAGAAUAAAAAAAAAAAUGAAAACCCAACAAGGAACACAAUGGAGGUCUUCUAUUCAGCUGCAGUUAAUGAUAUUAUUGUGUGAAACAUUUUCUGUUCUCUUCACAUGACAAAGUAAAUGCUGCAUUAGGAUUCAGCUGUACGAUCAAUAUCUCAAAAAACUGUUUUUCUUGUAAAAAGUGCUUUCCUCUAAUUGUUUCUGACAUAAAAUGUUUAUGCUGUCCAAUUAGUGGGGUGUGUGAAAUGCAUAUUUGUGUGGCUCUUCCAAUAUACUUUAAAAUGCUGGCUAGCCUCUUGACGUAGAUAAAAAUAUUUCAAUGAUUUGCCUUUUUUGUAGAUUACAUGGGGUAUAACAUUUUAUAUGCAAUUGUUGAAAUGUGUGGGAAUUAGCAGAUAUAAUGUUCUAUACUUGCAUUACAUAUCACUUGCCAUAGCAGAACAUCGACUAAAUACUUGUAACAUGAAAUUUGGGGCACUGAAAGAGACACUUAUAUUUGCUUUCUCUUUUUUCAUUUAAAAUUUUGUGUUUAGUAUAAACAUCCAGCACUUGAACUUGUGGGAUCAAUUUCUCAUUUUUUGGGAAUUAUUGUCUGUUUUUAAACACUUGUGAGUAAAAGUAAAAUGCAUUAAAUCUCUAUUUUUUUAUGUAUCAUAUAUGUUUUAUAUAAAAUGAAUCAGUUACAGCAGUGACAUUAUUUUUAGAUUAAAUAAAUCUGUAUCUAUUUAAAUAAUGCCAGCCCUCUUCUGACUUGUCCCCCCUAUAUUGCAUAUUUUAUUAGAAAGAAACUUUAAAGUAUUAAAAUGUGUACAGAUUUUUUUUUUCUUUUUAAGCCUUUCUGACACAAAUUAAUUACAAUGAUGAUAGAGAAGCAGGAAUUUCAUUGAAUCACUGCCAUUUUUUAAGUGUAUUUAUUUAUUUUGUACUCAUCAGAAUGUUGUAUUACUGUAAUUUAAAACAUCUACCUCAAUGUUUAAUUGUUUGUCAUUGAACUUACUUAAUGCCUUGUCAACUACUUGUAUUGUACGAGUGAUGUUUCUUUUCUUCUAAAGCAAUAAUUAAAAAAUGUUAAGUCUGAACCUGUAAGUGGUGUUAUCAACUGUGAUGUGCAGCGAUUGAAAAUGUACCUGUAAACCUGUUGUAUGAUUUCAAUUCAGACAUGUGCUCCAACAAAGGCUUUUAAUAUUGUGUAUCUUAUUUUGUUAUGAAAUCACUGCAAAACUGAUUCCCUACAAUCAUUCUAAAACACUUUGAGAUUCAUAGUGGUGUAAAAACAUCAUUGGCAAGCAGUACUAAUAUAAGUCUCAAAAGAUCACUCAAAUCCUUAAAGAAGUAUAACAAAUUGUUAAUAUGUCUAUUUACAUAUAUAAUGAAUGUAUGUAGAAAAGCUGUUUAAAACAUCAAUGCCAAGUGAAGUUGAUCUAAGCGAAAUUAAUCUGAUCUGUGUUUUUCUCUUUUCAGAAUUCAAAUGUUAAUCAAAUGGGCUAAUUAAUGAUUACUGAUAAAGAAAUGGAUACAAUUAAA